UACGAAGGGUGCAAGCGUUAAUCGGAAUUACUGGGCGUAAAGCGUGCGUAGGUGGUUUGUUAAGUCUGAUGUGAAAGCCCUGGGCUCAACCUGGGAACGGCAUUGGAUACUGGCUUACUAGAGUGCGGUAGAGGGAUGCGGAAUUUCCGGUGUAGCAGUGAAAUGCGUAGAGAUGUGGAGGAACACCAAUGGCGAAGGCAGCCCCCU
rnacentral:rRNA from 1 species